rnacentral:misc_RNA from 1 species
UCUCCGUAGGUGAACCUGCGGAGGGAUCAUUACAGUGUUCUCGCCCUCUCGGGUAGAUCUCCCACCCACCGUUCUCGUUACUGUCGUUUCUUUGGCGGGCCACCGGGUCCCCGGCCGCCGGCGCCUUGCGGCCGGCUCGCGCCCGCCACAGGCCUUCAAACUCUGAAUGUUAGUGUCGUCUGCGUACUAUAUCAUAGUUAAAACUUUCAACAACGGAUCUCUUGGUUCUG